AUAUUUCACAAUGGAGUAAACUCUGAAGCAGCGACGGCGCGUGAACGAUGAAGGCCUNNNGGUCGNACAGUUCUGUCUUGGGGNACCNUAUUGACGGUACCCCAGGAGGAAUCCCCUGCUAACUACGUUCCAUCAGCCUCGGUAAUACGUAGGGGGCUAGCGUUGUCCGGAAUUAUUGGGCGUAAAGGGUUCGUAGGCGGAUUUUUAAGUCAGAUGUGAAAGGUCGCGGCUCAACCGUGGUAAGCAUUUGAAACUGAAAGACUUGAGAUAAGGAGAGGAAAGUGGAAUUCCUAGUGUAGCGGUGAAAUGCGUAGAUAUUAGGAGGAAUACCAGUGGCGAAGGCGACUUUCUGGACUUAUACUGACGCUGAGGAACGAAAGCGUGGGGAGCAAACA
rnacentral:rRNA from 1 species